CAUGGAGUCCCUGGUUUGUUGUGGUUAUAUUUAGAACGCUAAUUUGGGGCGGAUCAGGGAGGCGGAAGUCUUGGCCAUUUCCUUCCACGUCCCGGAAGCUGAGGCGUUGUGUUUGCCGGCCCCGGCGAGAGUAAAGGAACGGGCGCUGGGAGCCAUGUCGUGAGACUCGCUGAGCUGCGCUGAACGCCGCUCAGAAAAGGCCCUGCCGAGCAGGGGUGGCGGUGGCUCGGCUUCCUAUAUGGGCCAUAUUAUUUCGAGGAAAGGCACUAGUCAGAAGGCGGAGAAAAAUCACCUCCGCGCCCCCCUGAGGGGGAAGGUCCCUCCGCCGCCACGGACCCGGACCUGCUUCCUCCGGGGGCCCUGCAUGCUGUGUUUCCUGGUCCACAGCGCCAGCCCACCCGCCGCGAAGGAGCAGCAGUCGCCCGCCUUCCUCUGCACGGCUGCGAAGCCCCCCGGCGACCGCCACGCUCGACGCCUCCUGCGCUGGCCUCCCGCGUCGGUUUGGAGAGAGCGAGGUCGCCGCUGCCGCCGUUUCCUCUUCUCCAGCCUGCUCAUUUCGACGCCGCCGCCGCCGCCGCCAGCGCGCCGGGGCUUCUUCGGGUCUGCGCUGGAGAGCAGCGAGGCUCCCGUGGAGAUGGUCUGCAAGCGCAAAGGGAUCGGGCUGCGCGCCUAUCCGCCGCGGAAACAGCCCCGGUGCGCUAUCCUCCGGGGAAAUGCGGCGGGUACCGGCGCCCCUUCGCCGCCCUCGACCGAUCCCGCCGAAUGCCAACAGGUGCUCUUGCCCGAGCAGCACCUCUGCCCUCUGCCCCGCGCCGUAGACGUUGCCAGGGAAGCUUCGCCUAAAGACUCCGUCGCCGAGGAUGGGAAGGAGAUAAUCCCGAGCAGCUCUCCUUCGCACCUGCCGGAGCUCGAUGGGAGAGAGAAGCCCGAGUCGGGCGAACCUUACUGUGAAGAACCCCCCGAAAACCCGGAGGACUGUUGCCAAGACUCGCAGCCACCCUUGCUGGAUAUUAACCAGCUGCCUCCCUCCAUCCUUCUCAAGGUGGGUUUGGUGGGCAUGGACUGUGUCAAGGGUGGUGCUGUCACAUAUGAUACGCAGACUUCCAAGAUAUUUUCCAAUUUAUCCUUGAAUGAGCGAUGUCUUUCAGCAUCAUUGGUUUGUAAAUACUGGCGUGACCUCUGUUUAGAUUUCCAGUUUUGGAAACAAUUGGACCUCAGUAGUCGUCAGCAGGUCACUGAUGAAUUACUGGAAAGAAUUGCAUCACGAAGCCAGAAUAUAACUGAAAUCAACAUUUCUGAUUGUCGUAAUGUGACAGACACUGGUGUAUGUAUGCUAGCAUCUAAGUGUCAUGGACUUCUAAAAUAUACUGCCUAUAGGUGUAAACAGCUGUCUGAUACAUCACUGUCUGCUGUUGCCUCACAAUGUCCUCAGCUUCAGAAAGUUCAUGUUGGCAACCAAGAUCGUCUUACUGAUGAAGGACUUAAGCAGUUGGGCUCAGAAUGCAAAGAAUUGAAAGACAUUCACUUUGGGCAAUGUUACAAGAUCUCAGAUGAAGGAAUGACUAUUAUAGCUAAAGGUUGCCUGAAGUUACGGAGAAUAUACAUGCAGGAAAACAAAUUAGUAACUGAUCAGUCUGUUAAAGCAUUUGCUGAACAUUGUCCUGAGUUGCAGUAUGUUGGAUUUAUGGGCUGUUCUGUUACAUCUAAAGGGGUGAUACAUCUUACCAAUCUAAGAAACCUUUCCAGCUUGGAUUUACGUCAUAUCACAGAACUGGAUAAUGAAACUGUGAUGGAGAUAGUAAAAAAAUGCAGAAACCUUGCCUCUCUCAAUCUGUGUCUGAAUUGGAUCAUAAAUGACAGAUGUGUGGAGGUCAUUGCUAAAGAAGGACAGAAUUUGAAAGAACUUUAUUUGGUAUCAUGUAAGAUCACAGAUUAUGCCCUGAUAGCCAUUGGAAGAUACAGUAUGACAAUAGAGACAGUUGAUGUGGGAUGGUGCAAAGAAAUCACAGAUCAGGGAGCCACCCAGAUUGCUCAGACUAGUAAAUCACUCCGAUACUUGGGACUGAUGAGAUGUGAUAAGGUAAGUGAAGUUACUGUGGAGCAACUGGUACAGCAACACCCACAUAUCACCUUCAGUACAGUGCUACAAGAUUGCAAGCGGACCUUGGAACGGGCAUACCAGAUGGGUUGGAUACCCAGUAUGUCCAGUGCCUCUUAACUCAUGCUAUGGCAUUAAAAAAAGAGAUUUAAACUGAACAAUUGAAAAUGGUUAAGGAUUUUUAAUUCAUAUUUUUUGGUUUUUAUUAAAUAUAUGUUUGGUGUAUGCAUAUGCAAGAGAGAGAGCAUGAGUGUAUGGCAAAUGUCUAUUCAGUCUUCUAAUGGAAAUAUCAGAAGAAAAAUAUAGUCAGAUAUAUUUAAUUUUUCUGAAAUGUUUAUUUGUCAAUUUAAAAUCUGCAAAUCAAUAAGAUUUUGCAGAGAGCUUGCCCUUUUUUUGUAAAUUGAAUGUUUACAUAAACUAGACUACUGUUUGGAUGUUUUUUCAAGGUAUAUGUUCAUGAUAGAAACAAUUCUUCAGAGAUGCAUUAUAAGAUUUUUUUGUCUGUUGUUUAAGAGCUUUAGGUUUUAACUUCUCAAAUGGGUUUCUUCUAGUUCUAAAGUUAGUUUCAACAGUGUAAUAUGUUGUUAUGUCUUUUUAUUUCAUGCUAUUUCUUUAUUAUUAAUAGCUCAUAGUUAUUUUUAAAUUGUAAGUUGCAACUCCUUUUUCUUAAAUUCGAAGUAAUAGAUAAUCUUAGAUUAUCAAAAUAUUGCUAACCUCUUGUGCAUUUUUGAAAUGCACAUUUAUGAAAGCUACAAAGGUACAAAAAUAUAACAUUUUUAUGAUAAAUUUUAUUUUGAGUGGAAUCUUUAAUAAAUGCUGGACAUAAGCAUAAUGGCAAUUUAAGCAGACUAUCUGACUGGUCUCUAUUGGUUCUACUAAAAUGAUAUUUUUCAGUUGCUUGUAAAUGUAUGUAUUUUAAGUGGAUAUUCCUUGAUUACAUUUCUACAUCUUUCACACUUUCUAGUUUUGUACAUCUUCAUUUUAAUUUUCAGCACUUUUUAUUAUUUAGAUCUGUGAAAAGUAGUGUAUCUAAGGAUUCAGGAUUUCUCAGCGUGUAAAGAAACCUCAGACUUGCAUUUCCUGUAUGCUUCUGCAGCAUCUCAGGGGAGAAGGAAAGAAACAUCUGCCUCCACUUAUAACUUCCUGUUAUAUCUAAAUCUGCAGGAUUUGUAGUUAAUUGAAAGUACGGUUAAGUCAAACAAGAUAAUUGUUGAGAAGAUAGUUUGGCUGCAGUUGCAAAAGAUCUUGGAAGAAAUGAAUUAUCUGGAUUCUUUUCAAUUGGGUUUCAAACCUGGACACAAUACAGAGAUGAUUAUGGUGAAGCUGAGAUUGGGUCAAGCAGAGCCUGGCUCUUUAAUCUUUCAAGAGUGUUUGAUACCAUCAACAUUUUUCUGGACCAGCUGUGAGGAGUCAGAAUAGGAAAUAUGGUGUAAUGAUAGCUGCCCUAUUUCUUCUAUGACUAAUUCCAGUCAGUGUUGGUAGGAGUAAAGAGGAUAAACCUAAAGCACCUCAUCUACAGGAUGCCUCAGGGCUCGACACUAUCUUCCUUUUUGUUUAGCAUUUACAUAAGACUGCUGGGGAAAGCCAUAAUCAGUAUGCUGAUGACGCUCGUAAGGCUUGUCAAAUUUUCCAACUUUCAAUUUUCAACAAUUAGGGGUCCUCAAAAGUCUUGGAGAUUGUAAAGAUAUUUUGGUCAUUUUAAUAUAAUGUAGAUGUGGUUGGUAAAUAACUACAUAAACAUCAUAACUUUUCAGACCAUCAAUUCCCCAGCAAACAAUUCAGGCCAACAAUUCCCCAGUACCACCAAAAAAAGAACAUUAUUCUGUGUGCAGUGAGCCAGGUGGAAGAUAUCUUUAUCAUUUCACUCCAGAGAAAGGCUCAAAAACAGGAAAACCUGCUCGAGUGAUUGCAGAUAAUCUGGUGUAUUUCAUGAAGAAGAAAAACAUUGACAAAAGCUUGAAGGCUAUUGGAGGUGAUUCUACGAAGGUUCAUACUGGCUAUGAUGGUGGUGCCAUGCACUGGGUAGAGGUCAAGCCAGAGCAUCCACUUGCUGGAACAGAUUGACUGGUCUGAAGGUGUAUAUGAGCCACCUUUGACGUGCAAUAAAGUGGAAAUAAAGAAGUUCAUUGACGAACCAAUGCAAGUACCACACUGGCCCUGUCAUGCCCAAUCAAUAUAGAGAUGUGUAAAACAGGUCACAGAGGCAGCAAGCAGAGUGUAUACACAUGAGAAACGUGACAGUUAUAUCGGAGGCCAAGAGUCAGCAGCUGAUGUCAAAGAAUGAAUCAAAACAAGACUAGAUGAAACUUGCUUAAACAUUUUUGUAACUCAGAUAAUUGCUUUCUGAUGUUAGUUUAGGAUUGCAUGGAUUAUUUUUUGCUUAGCUAAAUAAGAUUCAUGCAGAAAAAAAACUUUAAUUUUUGUAGCACAAGGUGUAAUUCUGAGAAGAUAAAGUUAACAGUAUAUGAUCAGACAUGGAUUUACCAUACCAAGCUAAACGUUAUGCAACUGCAAAAAUAAUAGCAGAUUUGAAUUCUUGGUGUAAAAACACAUAUUUUUAUUACCCCUCACUGAAAACAUUGCAAAAAUUUAUUUUCACCCCAUUAAAUGACACACCCUAAUGCUCAGUUGUACAUCUUAUCCCCUUUCUGACUAAAUUAUGCUCUCAAGGUCUUGUCCCAAAGCCUGAAAAUUAUAAAAACCUGGGUAGAGAUGAACAGUCUUGGGGUCAACCCUAGCAACACAUAGUGGCUGGAGAUCAUCAGGUUUUGGCCCUUAACAAAGUGUACAUUUUGGAUCAAGAAGCAUUUCUGUCACUCAUGACUUGCUCAUCUUGGUUUUGGACAAUUGCAGUGCUUUAUAUAUGGUUCUAUCCUUAAAGAUCAUAUGGAAGCUAUAGUUGAUCCUGAAUGUGGCAGCACAAGCGGUGAUGGGAAAGACUCACAUAUAACAGGCUGUUAUUAGAACCUCACUUGUUAUCAGUUGGAUUCUGAAGACAAUUCAAGGUGCUAGGUUUUAUAAAGCCAUCCAUGGCACAGGAUCUCGCUCUUUGGGAAACUAUCCAUCUGCCAUAAUGUGUGCUGUGACAAAGUUGGCUUGCUUUCAGUGCCAACUGUUAAUUUGUACAGUCUCGUGUUCAUUGAAGCAGGGCCAUGAAGUUAUGAUGGCAGGUUUUUUUUAAAAAACCUAGUACUGGCCUUUAAAUGAAAUGUUGCUGCACAGAACCUAACAUUGGGUACUGUGGAACCUUCUACCCUUGGAGAAUCUCUAUGGAGCUGCUCUUUGCAGCUUAUAAGAGAUUUAGUUAUCCAAAUCAUGUUACAGUAUAUAUGUUUUUUCUGUUAUACUUUUAAAUGUGUUUGCUUGAGUUAAUAAUAAAACUUAAAAUCUCAUUAUUCACUCAAAUGCUCAUUGUCUAUGAAGCCAAAAGAACCAAUUGCCUGGGCAUCUGAUCAUUUUCCUAGUUUAAUCUUUUUUUUAUAACUUCAGAAACUUCCUGUAUUGUUAUAGCUCCAUUUAUAUUUUGUCUCUGUUCUGCUGUAAUCCUCAGUAAUUUUUGUUUCUUUAGAUAUUCAUCUAUUUUCUCUAGAGGAAUGUCACUUCCUUUAUACAAAAUAGAGUAAUAUUGAUGAAAUACAUUUUGUAUGGCUGCAUUGUCCAUUAAUACAGCAUUUCCCUCUUGUAAUUUCAAUAUCAUUUCUUUUCCCUUUAUUUUCAUAAUUUAUAUGCUAGCCACUUCCCUGAUAAAUUUGAAACUCUUUUUUUUUGCUUUACAUAAUUCAUUUUUAUUUCAUUUAUCUUACUGUUAACAUACUAUAGAUAAUUGCCAUUGCAGAAGUUUAAUUUGUUGAGAGAUACUUGUCAUCUCUGGAUAAUUCUUUAAUUCCAGGUCUUAUUUUCUCUUUAUUUCAUUCAAAACACUUCUUUUUAAAUCCAUUGUUGUAUUGUAUAAAGUGACCUCAAAUGAAAGAUUUACUUACAUCCCAAACCAUUCUUAAGUCAGAGCCUUUACCUAAACUAUUAAACUAUUUUCAAAAAUUCUUUUAGCUUUGUUUCCUUCACAAUCCUUCACUACUGUUGCUUUCCGUAGCAAGAGUUUGUUAGUCUUCAUCUAAAUGAAUUAGAUUUUCUUUUAUAAAUCAAAGUCAUAGGACUACGAGCUGAACAUAAUCUUUGUAAUAUCUCUACUUUAAAAUUUUAGCGGCCAAAUUAUUGAAGUCCAAAGUAUAUAUAUUCUUGAAAAGAUUAUGCCCUUCAGAAAGGUAAGCAGUUUAACAUUCUUAAAUUGACAUUUUUUGUCUUGAUGUAUGAACCAUCAAGGCAUUAAUGUAAUGGACAAUCUAAAUGGUCUAUCAGAUUAAAAAAACCCUGUUGAUCAUUUGCCUUGAUAAUAAUUGUCAGACCUGGAAGCCAUCUUUCUACUUUUGUGCCUUCAGGCUUCAGGCUUGCCACAAAUUUUACUGUGGGAAAUUGGGAGGGGGAGUUGCAUAGAGGGAAGAAGAUAUGUAGUCACAAUAAAAUUCCUUAUAGAAAGUCAAAGCCACGGUGCCCUGCAGCUGUGCUGAGAGGAAUGAGGAGAUAUCUUCUGUUCUGGACCGUACUUGAUUGGAUGUAUGGUGGACAUGUGGGAGAGGGACAAGAUCUUGAACUUUCUUUUGGGUGUGGAAAACCUGGAAGCUCUCAGAUUUGGGUUUUCCCAGAUGUGCCAAUAUGACAUAAAAGUUAGCUUUGAGGAACUUCAAGCCUUGGAGUUUGAUUUCGUUGGGCGUGUUACCUGGAACCCUGACAUUAAAAUUUUGUUCAGAGUUUCUAUUCAGUUGAGGGGAGAUCACAUCAUUCCAAUUCCCCAUCAAACCACCAAUUUUCAUAAGAAAAAAAUAUUAAUCUGUCCAUAACUUGUUUAAAAAACCCCGCUUUGUCCUCAUUUGGAGCAUAAAUUCCCAGUAUCAAAGUCUUAACCUCACACAAAUUAAUUUCCACACCAACAAAUCUACUGUACUCAUCAGUCAAUACUUCUGGUUUAAGUUGGGAAUUUAUGCACAAAAUUACACACACACACACACAUUUGUUUAUUUCCUUUUUUUUGCUACAGAAAAGAAUUCUUCACCAAAUUUUUAUCAAUCAAACAUUUUAUGUCCUUCUAAUAGUUACAUUUUCCAAUUAAAUAUAGUUUCCUUUGUCGUCCUCCUUCACCCAGACUUUCUGAUGCCUUGAAUUCCCUUUUAAAUAAACAUGAUGAAAAUCACAAAAAGAUUGAUUGCCAUAUAGUCUUGUGAAUCCUAAUGAGAUCCUUGACAGGCAACUACAGGCAGGGUUUGUCUGCCUUUCGUAAUUUACUGACUUGCCCUUGGUCAUCAUUGAAAUCUUGCCACUUGUUAUCAAGGCUGUCCUCAGAAAGACUUCCAUGGCUGACUUCUUAGCAUUAUUAUCACAGAUGCUAAGGAGUGCACUAUUUCCCUACUCCCGGUGUAAAAUAUUCCAUUUAAAUGGUUAAAUCUAACCAUGGUGCAAGAGUGAAGUACUUAGUUUGAUAGUUGGGCAAAUAAUGAAUGGCACUUUUCUUUCUUCUUUUCCUUCUUAGCCAUCCUCUUGCACAUAUUCUCUGAACAAAUUACAGAGCAGUUAUUCUCCACUGCUAGCCAACAACAGCUUUUCCAAAUAAUCAGUUGAAAUAAAUCUUAUUUUUACUUCCUGACCAGUGGUGGGAUUCAAAAUUUUUUACUAUCUGUUCUGUGGGCGUGGCUUGGUGGGCAUGGCAGGAUACUGUAAAAUCUCCAUUCCCACCCCACUUCAGGAGAAGGUUACUGCAAAAUCCCCAUUUCCUCCCAAUCAGAUGGGACUCGGGAGGCAGAGAAUAGAUGGGGGCGGGGCCAGUCAGAGGUGGUAUUUACCAGUUCUCUGAACUGGUCAGAACCUGAUGGAAUACCAUCUCUGUUCCUGACAUUUUCAAUACAAGUAUAUAUGUGAACUAGAGGUGGUUAGAACUAUGCUUCCAUUCUUACAAACUGCUUAAAGGCACACUUCACCAUCAUCAGUUAAAUAUGAGAAAUGGGGAAUUCAACAGUGAGCCUUCCUCUCCCACAUGCUUCCUUUCCUCCUUUUUCCCUUUCUCCUUUCCUUCCAUAGCUCAAAUAUUUUUUGGGAAAGAAGCCUAAUCCAUGUUGUGAAAUAACUUCAGAACUUCAGAAACACCUUGAUCAUGACUUUAUGGACCAUUUUUGGGAAGCAUAAACCCACAUCACUUCUCUAAAAGAAACAACUAUUCUACAAUGGUGCCUGCUUUUAGCAUGUCACCAUAGGCAGCAUAUUUUAAAGUUCAUGGGGCCUGAGAUGCCAGAUUUGCUUCUGUCCAAACAUCACAGCCACUGUAAACUCUACACAUUUCCCAGGCACUUCUCUUUGGAAUCCAGUUCAAAGUUUCAUUGUCUUUGAAACAAAGAAAAGCCCCUUAGUAAUGGGAUAACAUUUAACUAUCCCAGUCACGUAGAAAGAGCCAAGUGUAUGGACUCCUAGCAGAUUUCAAGGAAUACUUUCGGUGAUUAUCACUUUUGUGAGAAAGUCCGAUCUACCAUUUUUGCUAUAGCAAACUUUAGUUGCUAUAAUGCUACAAGUAGGCUGCAGUGUGAAUAAUGAUCCAACCCCCAGGUCUUACGAACACUGAUUGUUUUUUGAACUUUCCGCUAGUUUCCUUCUUCAGUCACCACCAUCAGCCCUUUGAUGGAAUACUUUGAUUAGGACUCUGUGCAGUCAAUUGUAAGAUCAUUUCAAAGUGGCAGAACCGCGCUCUUGCUCAUGAAAUACAUGUAGGAUGUAUGGCUCACAUAUCUCCCAAAGCAGUACAGUGGAUUGUUUGUUUUGGGCUUCGCAUGUUUAUCCAUCUACAGUAGUUUGUAAAUCAUUGUUUCCUGUGGUGCAUUCAUAUAUCACAUGAAACUAAAAAUAAGCAAACCAAGUUAGCGUGAUUUGUGAAGCAUCGGAGGGCAAUUUCAGACUUCCUUCGCUUCUUCUGUAACAAAGCUGCAUCAAGUAUGAUACCUGAUCCAUUGCUCCAUUUGUCUGAAAUUUAGCAUCGGCUUCACAUAAAAGUGGGUAGUUGAAAAUGAAGCGUAUUUCAGAAAAGAAGUUUAAACUAUGAGGCCUACUGAAAUAAUUCACUCAUUUAAACCUGUCAUCGCAAUGACAGAUAUUACAUAUGGCAUCUUGUAAAUAAUCUGAUUGACUUUUCUAAAUCAGCAUAAAUGGCUUUUCUAAUCUAUAUUGGUGAGCUUCUCCCUCUCAUACUCUGGUAUCUCCAAGAUUUCUUAAGAUACUGUUUAGAUUCUUUUGUAUUAUUUUGAUUCGAGCUAAAAUUUUGAUUCGAGCUAAACCAACUGACUGAGAUGGUGUAGGGUUUCCUGCCUGGGCAGGGGGUUGGACUAGAAGGCCUCCAAGGUCCCUUCCAACUCUGUUGUUAUGUUAUGUUAUGUUAUGUAAAAUAAUUGAUUGAAAGUAGGGAUUCAUAUGUUAUAUCAUCACACAACUCUGUCUCGUUGUUAAACUGUUCUUAGUAACAUGUUAGCAGAAACAGCACUAAGAUAUUGCUUCAUAAUGCUUUAGAGCACUCUAAGCAGUUUACAGAAUCAACAUAUUACCUCCAACAAUCUAGAUCAUCAUUUUACUGACCUUGAAAGCACGGAAGGCUGAAUCAACCUUGAUCCCAUCAGGAUCGAGCUCCUGGCAGAGGACAAAGUCAGGCUGCGAUACUGCAUUCUAACCAUUGUGCCAUGACUCUCUGGCUUAAAGCUUUGGAUAAACAAAUUUGGAACUUCCAAACUGAAUAUGACAUAAGUAUAGGGUAUUCUGCAGCACUAGAUUAUCAUCUUCUUCUGCAUGACGUAUAAAAAGUCAACAUUGCUUGAGUACAGCUGACUUUUCACUAAACAGAGCUGCAGUGUCCUGGGAUAUAAACGUAGGCCUUUUUGAUGUAGCUUUCUUGAGUACCUAACUUUGCAUGCAUCUCCAGGGAUAAUCAAUAUAAAGUGGUUUGCAAAAAAGCUAUUUUCCUGGCAUGAGAACAAUCUGCCCCUGAGCCUUUGGGUGUUGCUAAGUAUUAUUCUAUGUGCUCAUCUGCUGAACUGAUCUCGAAGGAUUGUGACAAAAUUUGGAAUAAACUGAUAAUUAUCAUUUAUUUAGGAAUAGCAAUAAGGCAACUCUUCUAAAAUAAAUGCUAAUAUAUAAUCUCUAAAAUAUAUAUAUGUGUACAUUAUAUAUUAUAUAUAUAUAAUGUGUACAUUAUAUAUUUAAUAAUAUAAACUUAAAAUUUGCAUUUGAAUAAUAAACUUGCUUAGCUUUAUGGUUUAAAGUAUUUGGAUGGAUACAAAGAUUUUACUAUCAGAAUAUAGAAUAACAGAGUUGGAAGGGACCUUUGAGGUCUUCUAAUCCAACCCCUGCUCAAGCAGGAGCCCAUUCCAGAUAAAUCUCUGUCCAAUCUCUUUUUAAAAACCUCCAGUAGUGGAGCACCCACAACUUCUGGAGGCAAGCCAUUCCGUGUUUAAUUUAAUUUAAUUAUUAAAUAAUAUGUUUACUUGUUGUGGCUUAAUUUACAUUUGUGGUUCUUUUUAGAGCCUUACUUAAUUUUCUAAUAUAGGUGUUCUCUGGCUCUGUGGAUCCAGAUCCUGAUUUUAUUUUAACAGCUUUUUCUUUAAAGAAAGUUUUAACAUUUGAACAUCUGAUAUAGUCUGAAGUCCAGAAAUGUUCACUGAGGAGUCAUACUGAGUUCAUUAGACUGGAUUCAAAGUAAGUUCAUUUAGGACUACAAAUCUAAUUUCAUAACUUCAGUUGUCUUGUUUCAUGUCAUGUGGAAAAUGAGGUAAAAGUAUUUAGAAAUAACAGAUUGUAGCCUCAAUUUUUUCCUUCCUGGACAAACAUUUCUAUCGGGUUGAUUUUUUUUUUUUGCAUAUUUGUCAACGAACAUUUUAUUUAUUCAUAUUGAACGAGCAGUGUAAAUUGCAGGUAUAUUUCUAUUCUUGAAUAUAAGGUGUAUGAAAAAGAAUAAGAGUUAGAUUACCACUACACUUCUAAUGCAACAGAGUACUGAGAUUCCUGUCCUGUUGAUUAGUCUCAUUGAUGCAUCUCAGUUUAAUAAAAAAAAAUGAAAUCAAUCUUCCUCAAAUUUUUCAUUGACAUGCAAUUGGGUUUUUUAAAUAUUUUAUUAGAGAUACUGGGGAGGCAUUAGUUUAGAAGGAAGAGAAGACUGAAAGCUUAAAACACAAAGGAGAAAAAGUUAAUUUAAAGUGAUGUUUGGUAAAAAUUCCCCUUUGAGAUCCUGUUGUGUAAUUGAACAGAUUAAGAUAACUGACAGUAACUUCACAGUGUGUCUAAGUGGAGGUCUCUAUGGGUCAGCUCUCGGAUCCUGUGCCGACACGUUAAACAAGUUUGUCAAUUUUCCAUCAGAUUGAUUUUUCUCACAGGUCUGGAAGGCUUGUUUCAUUUCAUCUUAUUUCCACCGGGGUUCUUAACAUUGCAAACUGGCAUUUACUUUUUCUCAAAGUGUGAAGAAUGAUUUUUAUCUUAGGGUAGCAAUCAAGGCACCGAGGUCCUCUGUUUCCUGCAUUGCCCAUUUUAUUCAUUGGAGGCUAUUUGCGGGGGUGGUGGUGGUCUGAAGUGUUCCCCCCUAAAGAGGAUUUAAAUUUGUGGAGUAGAUUAGUAAUACUUGUACUCCCAUUGUACUUUGGGAAACAAUUUAUAUUGUAAUUUUUAAGGUGGUGCUUUAUGAAACGAAAAGCUAGUGCUCUUUUCCCACUUCAAUCUUGUUGAAGAAUUGCAUGACAAACUACGGUGCCCCUAAAGGUCACAUAAAGCCAUAUUAAAUCUAUUUUCAUGUCAUGGUGAAAUGACCCCAGUCCUCCAAGAAUUGUCAAAGAAAAUUAUAUGCAUGGAUAAAUGGGGAAAAAAAGUACCUUUUAAUGAUCAAACAUUAUAGGCAUCAGAAGAGGUAUAUCAAUUGUGUGGCAGCUAGCAGAGCUUACCUGAAAGAUAUGUCUGUCAAGCACCUAACCCAAAUUCUUCUUAGCCUGGCAAUCAUAAAAAGAUGAGGGAUAACCGUAACAUUUAUAAAAGUGUAAGUUUUGGUGAACUACUUUGGAAAGGAUUGGUGACAAGUGAAUGACAUAAUAAAUAAUUGAUUAAACAUUUACAAUUAUAUUAGGUGCUGUGCAGAGAUUAGAAACCAAGUUAGCUUCUGCUUACAUGCAAAAUAUUGAAAAGAAUGUGAAUUAUAAAAAUGCAGAUUUUGGCCCACAUACAUUUUGAAAAAAACAACAUAUAUUUAUGGAUUUAUUUUAUUUUUAAAUGAUUUUUAAAUAGUUAAUGAAGUAGCUCUAUUUUUCCUGUUCCACAUUGCUUUCUGACCUGUUGCUUAGUUAGAACUGUGCAACUGAAAAAAAUAAACUAAAGCUUACAUUUAAAAACAAUGAAGAACUAAAAAAAUAAACAUAUUUCCCAUGUGUUUAUGUGUAAAAUCAGAUCAAUGUUACAUUUAUACAUAUUUUAUAUUAAUGCAAGCCUCCUUUGAAAUGUGUACUAAGGUAGAAAGGAAAAUUUGUUGCUGUAUAAAAGAUCUAAAAAGUACAAUGGUUAUGAACAUAACUUAAUUCUUACAAAUAGCAUAUUAUUAACAUAGAUGGUUGCAUCUACAUUCUUGCAUUUGAGCUUCUGAAGCCAGCAAACUCAUAAAAUAAUGCUUUUGAAGUAAAAAUUGCAUUAGCCAAAACAUAUAUUUUCAAGACCACAAAUUAGGUUAUUACUUAGUACAAGGAAAUGGAAAUUGGAAAUCAGUUAAAUGGUUGAGUGGAAAUUGAAUUUUAAUCUCUUAACAGGAUUUUUCCCAUUACAAUGUACUUCUUUCUCAGUAAUGACUAUUGUUUAUUCUGCUACAAUAUUUACUAGCAUUUGAAAAACUUAAAACCAUCUAUAAGGACAUAGCAUGGACUAUGUAAUGUAGUCUGAUUAAAAGAAGUGUUUCAGACACUUAUUGUUUUUCCUCUUUAUUUUGCUGAAUUCCUUACAACCUCAUGUUUGGAAUCAAAACUAUUUCCUAAACUUCUCUCCAGUCUUCAGCUUGGUCCAGUCAUGGGACUGGAUUCUGGUAGAGUGAUAGAUUUGGAUUUGAAAACUGAAGAAAGUAUUUCAGCACUAUGUGAAAAAUAAGAGCAUACUAAAACUUCACAUAUCAGCUGGCAUAUCCUGAAUAGUCAGCUGCCAGUGAAAAUUAUAAGAAGUCUUUAGCAUAAGAAUGAAUAAAAUGCUCUGAGUUCAAAACAAGUUGUUCUAGAGCCAUGAUGGCAAAUCUGUGGCACGUGGAGCCAUAUCUGUGGGCACACGAGCGUUGCCCUAGCUCAGCUCCAUCACACAUGCACGUGCCAGCCAGUUGAUUUUUAGGCCUUCCAGCCUCCAGAGGGCUUCAGGGGGGUGGGAGAGGCUGUUUUUGCCUUCCCCAGGCUCCAAGAAAGCUUCUGGAGCCUGGGAAGGGCGAAAAAUGGGCCUACUGGGCCCACCGGUAACCUUUUUGCCGUCACAUAC